UACAGAGGGGGCAAGCGUUGUUCGGAAUUACUGGGCGUAAAGGGCUCGUAGGCGGCCAACUAAGUCAGACGUGAAAUCCCUCGGCUUAACCGGGGGAACUGCGUCUGAUACUGGAUGGCUUGAGAUUGGGAGAGGGAUGCGGAAUUCCAGGUGUAGCGGUGAAAUGCGUAGAUAUCUGGAGGAACACCGGUGGCGAAGGUGGCAUCCUGGACCAACACUGACGCUGAGGAGCGAAAGCCAGGGGAGCAAAGCGGG
rnacentral:rRNA from 1 species